GUGUCAGCCGCCGCGGUAAUACAGAGGUCCCGAGCGUUGUUCGGAUUCACUGGGCGUAAAGGGUGCGUAGGUGGUGAGGUAAGUCGGAUGUGAAAUCUCGGAGCUCAACUCCGAAACUGCAUUGGAAACUACCUCGCUCGAGGGUUGGAGGGGGGACUGGAAUACUUGGUGUAGCAGUGAAAUGCGUAGAUAUCAAGUGGAACACCAGUGGCGAAGGCGAGUCCCUGGACAACUCCUGACACUGAGGCACGAAAGCUAGGGGAGCAAACAGGAUUAGAUACCCUCGUAGUCC
rnacentral:rRNA from 1 species